GGGCCAAAAAGGGGCAAAAAACAAGCAUUUUUCUAGUUUCAUGACAAUAACUUGUGUGCAAGUCUAUGGAUCUAUCUGACAUUGUAUCACAAGGUUCCAUAUCACAAAGGGAAUGCUGGGAUUGAUUUUGGGGGUAAUUGCUUCCAAAUUUUAGGAAUUAGGGGCCAAAAAGGGGCAAAAAACAAGCAUUUUUCUAGUUUCAUGACAAUAACUUGUGUGUAAGUGUAUGGAUCUUUAUGAAAUUGUACUACAAGGUUCCAUAUCACAAAGGGAAAGCUGGGUUUGAGGUUGGGGGUAAUUGCCCUAAAAGUUUAGGAAUUUGGGGCCAAACAGGGGCCAAAAAACAAGCAUUUUUCUAGUUUCCAGACAAUAACUUGUGUUCAAGUGUAUGGAUCUCUCUGAAAUUGUACUGCAAGGUACCAUACCACAAAGGGAAGGCUGGGAUUGAGUUUGGGGAUGAUGAAUCAUAAGGGGGUUCAAAACAUUUGGGGGGGGGGGGAUUUUUUUUUCCUUUUUUUUUCUUUAAAAUUUUCCAUUUUAAAUUGGUUAUUUCUGAUUUAUAUAUAAAAGCAAAUAAUAAUGAUAUGGUUUGAAUAGGUAAAUUAAAAUUUUUUUAAGUUCUUAGACCACUUUCAUUCUGUGUCAGAAACCUAUGCUGUGUCAAAUAUUUAAUUACAAUCCAAAUUCAGUGCUGUAUCAAGCUUGAAUGUUGUGUCCAUACUUGCCCCAACUGUUCAGGGUUCGACCUCUGCGGUCGUAUCAAGCUGCGCCCCAGCGGAGCAUUUUAUUUAUAUUUAAG